GGGCGCGGCCGGCGCUGCAGACCCGCUGCUGUUGUCCGGGUCUGUGCGGUCCCGAGGGCCCUCCGUGCCGCCGGCGCCAUGGGCAAUUGCCACACGGUGGGGCCCAACGAGGCGCUGGUGGUUUCAGACUGUCUCUGGAGGUUAUGACCAUCCUGUGUCGCUGUGAGAAUAUUGAGACGUCGGAGGGGGUUCCACUAUUCGUAACAGGGGUUGCACAGGUGAAGAUCAUGACGGAGAAGGAACUCCUGGCCGUGGCUUGUGAGCAGUUUCUGGGUAAGAAUGUGCAGGACAUCAAAAACGUCGUCCUGCAGACCCUGGAGGGACAUCUGCGCUCCAUCCUCGGGACCCUGACAGUGGAGCAGAUUUAUCAGGACCGGGACCAGUUUGCCAAGCUGGUGCGGGAGGUGGCAGCCCCUGAUGUUGGCCGCAUGGGCAUUGAGAUCCUCAGCUUCACCAUCAAGGACGUGUAUGACAAAGUGGACUAUCUGAGCUCCCUGGGCAAGACGCAGACUGCUGUGGUGCAGAGAGAUGCUGACAUUGGCGUGGCCGAGGCUGAACGGGACGCAGGCAUCCGGGAAGCUGAGUGCAAGAAGGAGAUGCUGGAUGUGAAGUUCAUGGCAGACACCAAGAUUGCUGACUCUAAGCGAGCCUUCGAGCUGCAAAAGUCAGCCUUCAGUGAGGAGGUUAACAUCAAGACAGCUGAGGCCCAGUUGGCCUAUGAGCUGCAGGGGGCCCGUGAACAGCAGAAGAUCCGGCAGGAAGAGAUUGAGAUUGAGGUUGUGCAGCGCAAGAAACAGAUUGCCGUGGAGGCACAGGAGAUCCUGCGUACGGACAAGGAGCUCAUCGCUACAGUGCGCCGGCCUGCUGAGGCCGAGGCCCACCGCAUCCAGCAGAUUGCCGAGGGUGAAAAGGUGAAGCAGGUCCUCUUGGCACAGGCAGAGGCUGAGAAGAUCCGCAAAAUCGGGGAGGCGGAAGCGGCAGUCAUCGAGGCGAUGGGCAAGGCAGAGGCUGAGCGGAUGAAGCUCAAGGCAGAAGCCUACCAGAAAUACGGAGAUGCAGCCAAGAUGGCCUUGGUGCUAGAGGCCCUGCCUCAGAUUGCUGCCAAAAUCGCUGCCCCACUUACUAAGGUCGAUGAGAUUGUGGUCCUCAGUGGAGACAACAGUAAGGUCACAUCAGAAGUGAACCGACUGCUGGCCGAGCUGCCUGCCUCUGUGCAUGCCCUCACAGGCGUGGACCUGUCUAAGAUACCCCUGAUCAAGAAGGCCACUGGUGUGCAGGUGUGAGGCUCCUGCAGGCCCACUCUCUUCAGCAGCCACCCGGCCCUCCCUCCAGCACCCGUUUUAAUCCCACAGAACAACGGGAACGUUACUGACUCUGGUGCCUUAUCUCGAAGGGACCAGAAGUGCUGCGUGUUCAGGCCAUCUCUGGCUGUCUUCCUGUCUCUCCUGUCUGUCCACCUCCUCCUCUUCCUCUCCUUUACCCCACUUUCACUGCCACUUUCAUCAGGUUUGUGUCUCAUCUCCCUGCGUGUCUUUUCCUUUGUCUGUCUUUUUCUUUCCCCCAUGCACAUCAUGUAGAUUAAACUGAAGAUGUUUAUUACAAUCACUCUCUGUGGGGGGUGGCCCCGCUGCUCCUCAGAAUCCUGGUGCCUUGAAGUUCUCUGUGCAUCUGUCCAUCCUCCCUAUGGCCCUGGCCAGAGCUCAGCAUGGGCAGGGGUUCUGGGUAGGACGGUCACUGUCCUCUCUCCUGGACUGGUCUUCCCAGCCCUAAACCCUGCCCCAGGAAGCCCACAGCCUCACCCGCUGCUGCCCCUCUAGGUCUGGGCAGCCAUGACCUGCAGGGCCCAGAGACACUGUCCUUCCCCUCAUCCACCCAAGGCCCCAGCCAGCGCUCGUACCCUGUCCUUUCUCCCUGACCCCAAGGGCACAGAGGCAAGGCCUCCUGUCUACAGCAGCUUCCUCAGUUUCCUACUGCCUUAGGAGGCCCCUGCUUGUGCUCAGGGAAGGCCUCUUCAUGGGCAUGUUCCUGCUGGGGGCGGUGCGGUUUGGUCCCAACUCUGCUAAGUUUUCUGAGAUGAGGGUCUAGCCCUGUUGGGGACAGAAAAGUGUGUAGACCUUCUUCCUGCUAGGGCUGCACUGUCCUGGGUGUUGGGCCCUUCUGGUGGACAAGGCUGUGCCAACCCUGUACAGAAUCGAGUGCUGUAGCCUGGCCAGACCCCAGAGCCCUUGUGCCAUCUUUCUUCCUGGCCAGAGUGAUGGGGUUCCAGCCAUGGGGAAGCAACCCAAUCCUCUGUCUCCUUGCUCCAAUGGAGGCAGAAGAGCCCAGGACCCAAGCGUCUUGGCAGGGGUGCUGUGAGUGUCCAGUGGUCCCAGCUCCCCACCCUGGCCCUGCCCCAGCCUGUGUAGCUCUUCCUGCAUGUGGAUGCUGCAUGUCUGGUCUGGGGCUUGGAUGUUGCACUGCCCCACUGCCUGUCCCUUCUGGUAAAAUAAAGAUCUCUUAAUGCC
rnacentral:sRNA from 1 species